rnacentral:lncRNA from 1 species
UCAUUUAUCUGAUGAAUUACCCGAUUAGUCAAUAUAACCUCCAGACAUCAAUUAUUAUCGAAAUAAAUGCUGAUUUCCACUAACACUAAUAAUUCCCACACAAUGGAACUAUCAACACCAUCUUUAAUCAACACGGACGUAUUCAUCAUUAAUAUUAUAAUUCACAAUAUUUAACAACCAGGUCGUUCCCAGGAAAUAAAGGGUUUUCCA